rnacentral:tRNA from 1 species
AUUUUAUUAGUAUAUUAAGUAUGAUUGUUUUCCAAACAAUUGGUUUAAAUUAGUUUAAAUGAAAUA